rnacentral:rRNA from 1 species
UUGACCUCGGAUCAGGUAGGAUUACCCGCUGAACUUAAGCAUAUCAAUAAGCGGAGGAAAAGAAACCAACAGGGAUUGCCCCAGUAACGGCGAGUGAAGCGGCAACAGCUCAGAUUUGGAAUCUGGCCUUCGGGCCCGAGUUGUAAUCUGGAGAGGAUGCUUCUGGCGCGGUGCCUUCCGAGUUCCCUGGAACGGGACGCCGGAGAGGGUGAGAGCCCCGUACGGUUGGACACCUAGCCUCUGUGAAGCUCCUUCGACGAGUCGAGUAGUUUGGGAAUGCUGCUCAAAAUGGGAGGUAAAUUUCUUCUAAAGCUAAAUAUUGGCCAGAGACCGAUAGCGCACAAGUAGAGUGAUCGAAAGAUAAAAGCCCUUUUAAAAAAGAGUUUAAAAGUACGUGAAUUGUUUAAAAGGAAA